CCUUAUGAUGUCAUUUCCUGUGGAUUCACGCCGUUCCCCUCAGUUCGAGCUCUGCGCUGCUGAGUAGAGAAAAUAAAUCCUCCCACGGCUGGCGAGAGAGCAGUUGUCCUGGUUUUAUUCACCACAAGUCAACACAACGCAGAGUUUUCACAUGACCAGGUUACACAAGGCAAUAUAUGCGCAGAGGGGGAGGAUUGCCACAGGAGAACAGAGAGAGACAGAAACAACAACAACCAACCGAGCAGAACUCUUAAGUUUGAUAUAUCUCGACAUUAAGCCACCAUGUCCGAGUGCCCUAUUUGUAAGGUGAGGUUUCACCAGUUGCACAAGCACCUGCAGAAUAGACAUUUUGUGGGAAAUUUAACAGAACGCCGCAUCCUUUUAAACCUGGCGACAGGAAGAGUGAACAUACGUAAAUGUCCUUGCCCAGUGAGCAUGUGUGUCUACGCUCAGUCCAGGCUGGACAAGCACGUGAUGCAGGCCCACACAGACUUGAGCAUCGCUGAGAGGGUCGCCAAGUUGCAGGAGGCCAAACGGAGGCAGUCCUUGAAGCUUCUGGUUCAGCUGCGGGAAACUCAGCCUACCCCAGAUGUGAGCAUAGCCUUGGACCUAAUAGUGGAGGCUGGUGAGGAGCAGAUCCUUGAGAUUUCCAUGGACAUUCCCACCCUCACAGAUUGCGGCGUCCCUGCUGGUCAGGUGGAGAAAAGGGCUUAUACAAAAGAAGUAGAAAAGCUGAGGUCUCAGAAAGAACUCAUCCAUGAUGUCAGAAUGCUGAGACAGAGAUUGCAGCAGCUGGAGAGGAGUCAGAGGCACAAGACAUGGCCCAGCAGCUUAGAUGAAAGACAACCAAAAGAGCCAGAUGUGCCUAGUGUGGACCAGCAGCGGAGGUGAAAGUCAACAAGAGGAGCCAGAGGAGUGUGUGAUGGAGAGGGGCGAGGAGGAGGAGGAGGAGGCAGGCCCAUCUUCAACAGGCCCAUCUUCAGCAGGCCCUGGACAAAAGAGGAAGGAGGCCCAGUCCCACACUGGAGCAAAACAGAAUGCCACAGCUUUCCUCGGCAUCAAAGUUCGUGCCCUGGAACACAGGCAAUCGCAUGAGAACGAUUACCCUGAAAAGUAACUUUUUGCAUACCUGUCUGAGACUUUAUGACCUGAACUGUGCAGUGGGAAAAUAACUAAGUGUGGUUGAAACCUAUUUUUGUAGUUGAAAAGUAAGUUUUUGCAGACCUGUCUAAAUACUUUUAUAACCUGUCUAAAUACUUUUAGGAACUGAACUGUUAAUGAUCUCAACUUUUAUGACCUGAAACCUUUAUGACCUUUUUAUUACUUAUUUACUCUCCAAAGAACUGAAUGUAUGUCUGCUUUAUCUCCAAAGGAAACAUAUGUAAAUCAGUUGUCUGUGUUUAGAUUCCUCU